rnacentral:rRNA from 1 species
CCUACCAUGCAGUCGAACGGUAACAUUGGUGCUUGCACCAGAUGACGAGUGGCGCACGGCUGCGUAACGCGUAUACAAUCUACCUUUUACAGAGGGAUAGCCCAGAGAAAUUUGGAUUAAUAUCUCAUAGUAUUAUUUUAUGGCAUCAUAAAAUAAUUAAAGAUUUAUCGGUAAAAGAUGAGUAUGCGUUCUAUUAGUUAGUUGGAGUGGUAACGGCACCCCAAGACAGCGAUAGAUAGGGGCCCUGAGAGGGGGAUCCCCCACACUGGUACUGAGACACGGACCAGACUCCUACGGGAGGCAGCAGUGAGGAAUAUUGGACAAUGGAGGCAACUCUGAUCCAGCCAUGCCGCGUGCAGGAAGACUGCCCUAUGGGUUGUAAACUGCUUUUAUACAGGAAGAAACCGCUCUACGUGUAGAGCUCUGACGGUACUGUAAGAAUAAGGAUCGGCUAACUCCGUGCCAGCAGCCGCGGUAAUACGGAGGAUCCAAGCGUUAUCCGGAAUCAUUGGGUUUAAAGGGUCCGUAGGUGGAUAAUUAAGUCAGAGGUGAAAGUCUGCAGCUCAACUGUAGAAUUGCCUUUUGAUACUGGUUAUCUUUGAGUUU